rnacentral:siRNA from 1 species
GCCGACGUCUCCGGACUCCCU